AUUGAACGCUGGCGGCAGGCCUAACACAUCCAAGUCGAACGGUAACAGGAGACAGCUUGCUGUUUCGCUGACGAGUGGCGGACGGGUGAGUAAUGUCUGGGAAACUGCCUGAUGGAGGGGGAUAACUACUGGAAACGGUAGCUAAUACCGCAUAACGUCGCAAGACCAAAGAGGGGGACCUUCGGGCCUCUUGCCAUCGGAUGUGCCCAGAUGGGAUUAGCUAGUAGGUGGGGUAACGGCUCACCUAGGCGACGAUCCCUAGCUGGUCUGAGAGGAUGACCAGCCACACUGGAACUGAGACACGGUCCAGACUCCUACGGGAGGCAGCAGUGGGGAAUAUUGCACAAUGGGCGCAAGCCUGAUGCAGCCAUGCCGCGUGUAUGAAGAAGGCCUUCGGGUUGUAAAGUACUUUCAGCGGGGAGGAAGGGAGUAAAGUUAAUACCUUUACUCAUUGACGUUACCCGCAGAAGAAGCACCGGCUAACUCCGUG
rnacentral:rRNA from 1 species